AUGACAAAAAGAGCAUCUAACCCUAGGUUUAUGUUUAUGGUGCUACCUCUUGUUCUAUUUUUGAUGUGCCAAGAGAUUUCAGCUACAAGCAGGUUAAGAAGCAAGGAGAACACUUGUACUUCAACUGGGAUUGCUAGCCAUGUUGAAGUCAGUGUGAUGGAUUACAGUGAUGAGGGCAAUGGAUCUCCGCCGCCACCCGAUGAUUAUGAUUUCUAUAGAAAACAUGGUGAUAUUCCAAGUCCUGGUGCUGGGCACUGA